CAGAGCCAGCCGUACAUCCAGAGACGGAGACCUCCUUGUGGGGACGUGCCUUGAAGAGAUGGGGACACUCUGGCUGGGACUGCUGGUUCUCCUGGUGCCCAGCCAGCUCCACAGCCUUCCCCUGCUGACUGCAGAGCGGCCUGGCCCACCUGCCCCAUCGCAGGACGAGGUGAUGUUUGCAAAGAGAUACUUAGAGAAGUUCUAUGGCUACGGUCUGUCCCAGUCGGACCGGCAGAGGAGGGGGGCAGUCAGCCCCGCCACGGCUGAUGACUGGCUCUGCGCGGCGGUGAAGCAGUUGCAGCGGUACUUCGGCCGUCCCGACAACGGCCGGCUGACGCCCGACACGUUGGCGCUCAUGCGGAAGCCUCGGUGUGGCUUGUCCGACAUGGAGCCCUUCCACAACACGUGGCGCUGGAAGAGGAGUACGCUGAGCUACAGGUUUUUACCAGGGGUUUUAUUCCCCCAUACAGCAGCGGCAAUCUUGGUUAUGCUAGCUGAAUGCGCUAUUUUGCAUUCAGUCCCCUCCCACCAAGCUAGCUAGAUGGAACCCAAACUGACGACUAGAAUCUCUAGCUACGGCCCGACUGCCAGCGGACGCCUGACAAGUGUGAUCCAAAUUUGUCGUUUGAUGCGGGGACAGAACUCCAGCAGGAGAUUGUGUUUUUCAAAACAGAUUCAUGUGGCGUUAGUAUCCGACAUCUGAUGAGAUCUGGAUCAGUCUGAUCCGUGGCUUGUGGCCCAAUGCUGUACCAAAUAACAUGGACGCCGCCUAUGAGAAUGUGGAGAUGAACCAACUCUUGUUUUUUAAAGGUAGUCAGUACUGGGCGAUCAGACAGUUAAAUCUGAUGGCAGGGUUCCCGAGCAACAUCUCAGACCUGGGCUUCCCUCCCAGAGUGCAGGCUGUAGACGCUGCCCUUCACUUCCGCUUCGCACACCUCACCGUCUUCUUCACUGGCACUGAGUGCUGGAGUAUCUUGCUUAAGGAGGCCUUGUAGUUCGCCUGCACCCAAUUGGGUAUCGAACCCAGAACCUUUUGCCUGGCGGACAGAGACCCUUUGCCUGGUUCAACCAUUCAACACUGCUCCCCAUGUUGUAGAUAAGGUACGACGAGCAGUAGAAGACAAUGGAGGAGGGGUCCCCAGCGCCAAUAGACCAGCAAUGGCCGGGCGUUCCCUCUCACCUCGAUGCAGCUAUUUUUUAUAAGGGUACAUGUAAUGUUUUGAUUUAUCACAAUCAAACCCAACACUUUGUGUAGGAAUUAAUGUCUAUGUUGCAGCCUUGAUUUGUGCAUUUAUUAUGUAUCCACUCUAUGGUAGUGAGGUAUGGAUACCUUACCACCAGUCUGGAUGUUUACAAAGACAAUCACAUCCAAACCCUGCCUCUGAUUUUCCCUCCAUUUGAUCAUGUGGGUGUGAGAGUUAUACCAAGCACACCAACCAUAACUAAAUACUACUUUGCGUGAUGUGUACCCAUCAUCCCAGCCUGCUCAUUACACCUACCCAUUUUACAUUAUUCAUGCAUUAUUUUUUUAUUAUUCAAAUACAAGUGUUUACAAUUACUAUGAUUAUUAGUAUUGUAAUUAAUUACUGCAUAUUUUAUACAUUUUACUUGCAAAAUUAUGACACCAAACAAAGUAAGUCCACAUUCAUAUUCACAGUUCCAUAGUCCUCCGUGCUUCACUUUUACAUUUGUUAAGCAUCUUAUUUUUCAGUAUUUUUUUUCUGAAAAAAAUACGCAAGCAAGCAUGAUGUGCUUGCUUGUGUGUGUGUGUGUGUGUGUGUGUGUGUGUGUGUGUGUGUGUGUGUGUGUGUGUGUG
ensembl:lncRNA